CAAUACACUUGUCUCACUCAUCCAUUACAUAAUGCUUCCCUCUUAUUUCUCAGAUUAAGGUUAGGAUAAGGCAUAUUCCACAUCCUCCUAUUUAUUCUUCUCUUUCCUUCUUAUCAUGAGUUUUCUUAGUCAUAUGAAAAAUGUUAGAAUUGUUGGUUAUUUAUUAUUUAAUGGUAAGCCAAAUAUUAAUAAUUCAGUACCAUAAUAGGUUGUCAUGGUUGUAGAUGCUUCUCUCAUCUCUACUUUUUCCAUCAAUUGAAAUGGGGAAAAAAACCUUAGAAGCAUAACUGAGUAUUUUGAUAUUCCUUCUUUCUCAUCUUAAUCUUUGUAGCAGAGAGGAAGAAAAACCAUAAAGCUUUUGUGGGUUUUGCCUCUUGUUGGGCUGGUGAUGAUGAGAUGGUCUUAUGGUUUUGAAGAGUUGAAUGUGACCGAGAUUUCAUAUGUGGAAGCUUAUGGUGAUUCCAUCAGGCCUUUGAUGGUGGGCCCCACUCUUCUUCAAGGAGCUGUUGCAAAAGGAGCUAGUGGGGACGCAUCAAUGACUUCACCAUUUUCAUCAUUGAGUGAUGAGCCCCAACCAGAAGGGAAUUUGGUGUCUAUACUCAAAGCCCUAGGUUCUAUGGGUUUGCAAAGAGGAAACUAGAUGAGUUUGUUUUCCUCGGGAAUCAACUACAGGUUUCGUAUGCUCCUCGUUCGAGUCUCUUUCUGAUAUGAAGGAGAAAUUGGAAGGCAGGAGAAAAGAAGUUCUAAGCCUACUAAACUUGGGAAGAUCCAAAGGAUCAGAGCCUUCCAAGCAAAUCAAGAGUACAUUCGUGGAAUCAGUGCAUGGAAUUUUAAUCUGAAGGAUUUGAAAGCUCAAGCUGCCAAAGUAAGGAGGUUCAAUUUUAGUUAGAUAUUAAUGCUUAAAACCAUGAAAAAUGUCUAGAAAUGGUUCAUUUUGGUAGUACAUGGAAGUUUCUCAAAUUGACGAUGAUUGUUUAUGUGGUGAUUUCAUGGGAUACCACGGAAAAUGAAUCCUGAAUGAUGAAUUCUGUUUUC